rnacentral:lncRNA from 1 species
UCCAAAACACAACAUUUGAUUGGUUUCGUUAUUUCCAUUUCGCAACGGAGUAGAGAAAUAUCUCGCAGAGAAACAUUCCAAAAUCAUGUUGCGCAUGCAUUCAACCUUUUCGAGCGAAAAUUUUCGCAUUUCGCUCGUCGUGGAAUUAGGCCUUUAGGUGGGUUUUCGACUAAAAAAUGACUGCAGAGUCCCUUUAAUGACAAAACAUGAUUUUCUUAUCUAAUUUUUUUCUCCUUGGAGAGAUUUGUCCCUCGUCCUGCGCAAAGUCUAGGAAGUAUACUGUCGAAGAAACCUAUGGAAAUAAUUUUAUUUUGCACGAAUGUUUUCGUUUGUUCAUCUUCAUAAUAAAGUCAGUAAA